rnacentral:lncRNA from 12 species
ACAGUCACUGUGUCCCUUCAUGCAGUGUUCUCAUCUUUGUACUGCUUUUUAUCUACUCACUGUGGGUUUCCUUCAGCGAGUCAGGUUUUUUUAUUUUUUUUCCCCCCCAGAAUUACUUGUCAGACUGUAGCCUUGCAGCAAGGAUUUCCAAAGCAAGUGACUGCAUUCUACUGGCAGGGUGUGAUCCAGUGCAUGAACAAGUACUAUUACUACUGCUAGAAGAGCCUUCAUUAUUUCAAUUCAUGACAGCAAGUACUGAGUGAGCCUGGUCUGCUGGAACUCUGGAAUCCUUGAACCCCCUUACAAAUUAGAGGUCUCCAGUUUUCUCCUGCAGCACAGCAGGUGUUGAGCCAGCUCACGGAAGUGCUCCUCAUGUUACGUACCAAGAAGAAGUGAUCUAGCUGGGGAGUAACAGGCAGAUAAACCAGAAGGCAGAAGUCAACUCCCACUGAGUGCUCUUCUAAGCAAGGAUAGCAUGAAACUCUCCCAGCACUGGUCCUUAGGCGUGAUGCAGAUGUGGUUCUCCCUUAAGAAGGAGGAAAGGGUCAUCUCUAAGGAAACUGCUGAACCUUUACAGAGUCUUGCAUUAAAAUAUAGUUUUGUCUGGUUUGUUUUCUUUUCUCUGUCUGUGACUCAAUAUACUUGCAUUUGUUAAUAAUGUUCUUAUAUGACCCAAACAACACUCUCUGUAAAGAGUAGUUCCACUGAGUUAUGUUGGAGGGUAUAUUAAUUUGCUUAUCUCUAUGUAUUAUCUUAUAGCUAGCUUCUUUGUAGCUAGUAUUACAAAUGUUAAAUGGAUGAUUAUCAAGUGUUUACUUUCAUCCCCUCUUUCCCCGCUACAACGUUCUUAUUUACAAUGUAAUAAAAUAAUGACAUAAAUAUUGAGGAAUUAUUUUUACUGAGGUUUUUUUCUGUUUACUUGAUAUUUUUAAAUGGCUUGCCCACCUGCCUUCAGUUUAUACAUAGUCAUUUUGGCUGAUUACUUAAUAUAGUAUACUACAUUUAGAAAAACUCUUUUGUAGCCAUAGUAACUAUUUUUGAUUAGGUACAGCUAAGCACAUGGGUUCAUUUUAAUAUAGGUGGAAAAAAA